rnacentral:rRNA from 1 species
UACGUAGGGGGCGAGCGUUGUCCGGAAUUACUGGGCGUAAAGGGCGUGUAGGCGGUCGUGUAAGUUUCGGGUGAAAGGCGAGGGCUCAACCCUCGUUGGGCUCGGAAGACUGCAGGACUAGAGGACCGGAGAGGGAAGUGGAAUUGCUGGUGGAACGGUGGAAUGUGUAGAGAUCAGCAGGAACACCCGUGGCGAAGGCGGCUUCCUGGCCGGUAACUGACGCUGAGACGCGAAAGCUGGGGGAGCGAACGGG